rnacentral:rRNA from 1 species
GACGUAGGGCGCGAGCGUUGUCCGGAUUUAUUGGGCGUAAAGAGCUCGUAGGCGGCUUGUUGCGUCGACUGUGAAAACCUGCAGCUUAACUGUGGGCCUGCGGCCGAUACGGGCAGACUUGAGUUCGGUAGGGGAGACUGGAAUUCCUGGUGUAGCGGUGAAAUGCGCAGAUAUCAGGAGGAACACCGGUGGCGAAGGCGGGUCUCUGGGCCGAUACUGACGCUGAGGAGCGAAAGCGUGGGGAGCGAACAGG